rnacentral:lncRNA from 1 species
GUCAAUCAUAAAACGUGCGAACCUAUAGCGGAAGUUGUCUUAUUGCCAUAGCAGAGCGAAGAUGGAUUUCUCGAAUAUGGAUUUUGGUUCUACGCCUAACUCUAAAAAGAUUGAAGGACCUCCCACUCCUACUGGAGUGGUUGAAUUCAUGAAAAGUUUUUGGACUGAUCCUUUGAAAUGGCAAAUCGUGAAGAGUUUGGCUGUGUUUGGCGGUGCUGUGUACUUGGCACGAGUUAUAAGUUCUUAUGAAGCGUCUAUCAAAGCAGAAGCACUUGCAUAACUUAUGCGAUAGUGAUAUGGGGGAAAUUUUGUGUCUGAUCUUCUGAUUGACUGCAAUUUAUUGGAAAACCUGAUGAUGAAUACUUUUACCAACGUAUUUAAUUCUCUUUCGUGUAAAUAUUUUAAUUACUCCUGUCAGCAGUUUUCUAUGCAAUAAAAAAUAUCUAAUUACA